rnacentral:lncRNA from 1 species
AGCGGCUGAGCCCCGCGGUCGCCGUGUGUCUAAUUAGAAGCGCCCUUCUUCUUGAUCAACUCGAGUCAAAUUCAUUUACUCUGCUCGAAUUGAGGGUUUAAUUGGAUUCUUGUUUUCCCUCCUCCUGCCUUCGGCCCCGCCAUCUCCUUUGCCUUCCAAAGGGCCUCUCUCCGCGCAGGAAGCAGCCCCGAGCAUCUCCUGAGGACAGACAGACAGGUCGCGCCAGCCCGUGGGGGCAGCAGCCUUGACCCGGGGUCGCAAUUAUUACUGAGGCCACCGUGAUUGAGGGCCGCGUGAUGAUGUGUGAUGGGCAUGAGGGCGGCCCAGCCGAGGGUGGGCUUCUCGGUCCAGGCAGGCCCACGGAGCCCCUCCCUGCCAGGCCAAGAGGCCCCGUGUCGGUUCUCUCAAUCCGUGGCAGCUGGGUGGGCUUAAUCUCCGGGUUCUGGAAAACAAGUGGUCUAGAACGGCGAUUAGAGGCGAGUUCGCUACAUCUGGGGGCGUCUUGAAGACACUAAAACCGCUAAUUCUUUUUCCAAGUAAUGAGAUUUCUUCCCCUUUUUGUCUCCCCAUCUCCCCCCUUGUCAGUGAACGCCUAAAUGUGGCGGCUUCUCUCUGGCUGCAGGACUGGUCAUCGGCCGGUGGAGAAGGGGUGGGCAGCCACGCACCCGCGGGAGAAGUUCUGUCUCCCGGGUCAGACCCGCCCCGGGCGCUGAGAGGGGGAGAGGAGGAGGCGCAGACGCAGUGCAAAGAUCCAGACUCACGUGCGGGGCGGGCGCUGGCUGCAGACAGUGUAAUGCAGAGCAGAACUGGAUUGGGACCCACCCCAGUCACAUACACGCCCUGCCAGCUGGGGAGUGUGACCCAGCCCCUGCGAGCCUCAGUUUCCCCACACUAAUACCGGAUUAACAGGAGGUGGCUAUGAAGAGUCCAUGGGCCUGGCAUGUGGCGAGAGGCCAUCACACAGCAGAUGGCAGAAUGCUGUGUUAUAGUGUUUCAUGCAUUUCGCAAGGCAGCUAGCAUACACCCCUGAUGGAUACAUGGAUGGAGAUAUUGAACCUGCACAGCUGCUGACGGCCCCAGGCUGGAGACGGCGAACGCUGCGUGCCUCCUGAUGGAAACACGAAGCUCCAUCAGGUUGUCUCACUAAAAAAGCCAAACUUGAGUCUGAUCAAGCCUCAAAAACUGAUUGUCAAUUCAUCGAAAAUACAGAGGGCAGAGGGAUGCGUUGGAAGCCAUCAUGGGGCCGCGGUUGGUAAAGCCCACACUGGGACACACAAGUCAAGCUUCUGGUGUCUUAAAAAAAAUUUUUUUUUUUAAAGAGAAAGGUCCAGCCACUUUGGAAGACAGUUUGGCGGUUUCUUACCAAACUAAACAUACUCUUAUAUGAUCCAGCACCCAUGCUCGUUGGUGUUGAUCCAAAGGUAGUUGAAAACUUAUUUCCACAAAUGUUUAUAGCAGCUUUAUUCAUAUUUGCCAAAACUUAGAAGCAACCGAGAUGUCCUUCGGUAGGUGAUGGAGAAAUAAACUGUGGUCCCUCCAGACAAUGGAAUAUUAUUCAGCCCUGAAAAGAAAUGAGCGAUCAAGCCAUGAAAAGACAUGGAGGAAACUGAAAAGCAUCAGAAGUGAAAG